UUGAUCCUGGCUCAGGAUGAACGCUGGCGGCGUGCCUAACACAUGCAAGUCGAGCGAUGAGGCUCCCUUCGGGGGGUACAUCAGCGGCGAACGGGUGAGUAACACGUGGGUGACCUUCCCCAAAGACGGGGAUAACUCUUGGAAACAGGGGCUAAUACCCGAUGUGCUCAGCAGUUCACUCUGUUGAGUAAAGCUAUGGCGCUUUGGGAUGGGCCCGCGGCCCACCAGCUAGUUGGUAGGGUAAAGGCCUACCAAGGCUAAGACGGGUAGGGGGCGUGAGAGCGCGAUCCCCCACACUGGCACUGAGACACGGGCCAGACUCCUACGGGAGGCAGCAGUGAGGAAUAUUGCGCAAUGGACGAAAGUCUGACGCAGCGACGCCGCGUGGGCGAUGAAGGCCUUCGGGUCGUAAAGCCCUUUUCUGGGGGAAGAGAAAGGACGGUACCCCAGGAAUAAGCCCCGGCUAACUACGUGCCAGCAGCCGCGGUAAAACGUAGGGGGCAAGCGUUAUCCGGAUUUACUGGGCGUACAGAGCGUUGAGGCGGUUUUGUAAGUUGGGCGUGAAAGCCCUGGGCUUAACUCAGGGAAGCCGUUCAAUACUGCGAAACUUGAGGGCAGCAGAGGGAGGUGGAAUUCCCGGAGUAGCGAUGAAAUGCGUAGAUAUCGGGAGGAACACCAGUGGCGAAAGGCGGACUCCUGGGCUGAUCCAUGACGCUGAAGG
rnacentral:rRNA from 1 species